AUGAACGCUGGCGGCGUGCCUAAUACAUGCCAGUCGCGCGAACAGACGAGGAGCUUGCUCCUCUGACGUUAGCGGCGGACGGGUGAGUAACACGUGGAUAACCUACCUAUAAGACUGGGAUAACUUCGGGAAACCGGAGCUAAUACCGGAUAAUAUAUUUAACCGCAUGGUUCAAUAGUGAAAGACGGUUUUGCUGUCACUUAUAGAUGGAUCCGCGCCGCAUUAGCUAGUUGGUAAGGUAACGGCUUACCAAGGCAACGAUGCGUAGCCGACCUGAGAGGGUGAUCGGCCACACUGGAACUGAGACACGGUCCAGACUCCUACGGGAGGCAGCAGUAGGGAAUCUUCCGCAAUGGGCGAAAGCCUGACGGAGCAACGCCGCGUGAGUGAUGAAGGUCUUCGGAUCGUAAAACUCUGUUAUUAGGGAAGAACAAAUGUGUAAGUAACUAUGCACGUCUUGACGGUACCUAAUCAGAAAGCCACGGCUAACUACGUG
rnacentral:rRNA from 1 species